CAGUAGCCACGGGAAUACGUAGGUGGCAAGCGUUGUCCGGAAUUAUUGGGCGUAAAGGGCUCGCAGGCGGUUUCUUAAGUCUGAUGUGAAAGCCCCCGGCUCAACCGGGGAGGGUCAUUGGAAGCUGGGAAACUUGAGUGCAGAAGAGGAGAGUGGAAUUCCACGUGUAGCGGUGAAAUGCGUAGAGAUGUGGAGGAACACCAGUGGCGAAGGCGACUCUCUGGUCAGUAACUGACGCUGAGGAGCGAAAGCGUGGGGAGCGAACAGGAUUAGAUACCCCCGUAGUCCCUGUCUCUUAUAC
rnacentral:rRNA from 1 species